UUCUCCCUACGGGGGGCAGCAGUGGGGAAUAUUGCACAAUGGGGGAAACCCUGAUGCAGCGACGCCGCGUGAGUGAAGAAGUAUUUCGGUAUGUAAAGCUCUGUCAGCAGAGAAGAAAAUGACGGUACCUGACCAAGAGGCCCCGGCUAACUACGUGCCAGCAGCCGCGGUAAUACGUAGGGGGCAAGCGUUAUCCGGAUUUACUGGGUGUAAAGGGAGCGUAGACGGCAGGGCAAGUCUGGAGUGAAAGGCGGGGGCCCAACCCCCGGACUGCUCUGGAAACUGCCA
rnacentral:rRNA from 1 species